rnacentral:tRNA from 1 species
GUGGGUAUAGCUCAGUGGUAGAGCAUGUACGUGGCAUGCAUGAGGUCCUAGGUUCAAUUCCCAGUACCUCCG